AAAAAAAGAUUAUCAAAUAAGCUUCCCAAGUCAAGGUAUAAUAAUGGUGGCUUGCUUAUGUUUAUCCUUUCAGCUUGCUCCACGGUCUCUUAGAAACCCGAGUGCUUCUUGGUUCAGCAUGGCUACAGGACACAGCAUAGGUAUAACCCUAAGUCUUAAUUCGUGGAUCCCAUUCACUCAUAGCAAAUUUAUCUCUCCUUUUCUACCAUUCUCAGCUUUUGUCUUUCCCGAGGCUAACUUUGAUCAGAGAGGUAAGAGAGAGCAUUGGGUUGGGAACUCUGGCCCUCUUUCUGCCACAAGCCAAGUAUGCCAUCUUCCCAAGUCUUGCUGUCUCUCUGAAUUUGUUUCCUUAACUGUCUCACAAGAAAAAUGGACUUAGGUGAUCUAGUAAUCUCUUGGAGUUCUGCUAUGGUUUGUGCUUGCUGGAGAACAGACUUGUGCUUGAUGUAGGUUCAGUUUCUGCACAGAGAAUUGUGGCUGGUGAUAGUAAUCCUCAGAGACAUCAUUUAAGUAACACCACCGCCUGCCUUAUAUCUGCUUUAGAGUGAACAGGUACGCCUUCAUGUUAUCUCAUUUGAUAGUUCUAUGGUCAGACAUGCUUCUUUCACAACUCUUGUCUAUAUUCUCUUCAAGAUCCUGCCCCCAGUUCACUGUAUCCCUUUAA
rnacentral:lncRNA from 1 species